UACACCUAUUAGGUUAGGUGGAAUGAUUACAUGGAUUCUGCACAACUAGGUCAAGAAUGUAGAGUUUGCAAAUGAGUAUAUCAAAGAGACUCCCUCCUGUACUUAUGAAGGUAUUGAGUUGAGGUUUCACUGUUCCUCAAGUCUUUCUUCCCCCUGCCCAUGCUCCUGUUUCUUAUAUAUGACAUUAAGGAAGAAUCAUGGCAACACAUCUAAAACCUUCAAGUCUGGCCAUGGGAACACAGGAAGUAGAUAGUGUAGUACAGAUAUCAAAUGUGAAUAGAGAAAAGAAUUGUAUAUUCCAUGUGGUCCUUUGCUUUAUUGAUGUUGGUAAUUUUUGAAUAACAUAAGGAUUUGGGAAUUUAUAAUUGAAGUAGGUACACCAUAUUUACACUGUUAUUCUCAGUCUAUAGAUGGGCCCACUUUGUUUCCAAAAUCAUAGCAGAGAAUGGAAUUUGAAAACAGAAUUUUUGAGUACAUAUUCAGGAAUAUUUAUAAUGUCCCCUAUGAAGGAAUGUACAAUAGGAAAGUGAAAUACAAUAUUCAUUCAACGAAAGGUGUGUAGGUAAAGUACUGGCCUUUAUAAAAUUAAGAAAACCUAGAAAAUUGAACUGUAUGUCACAGGAAUUGACCUGGGAAUAAAAAUAUUAUCCAGAAGAAUCUCCUCCACUCCAAGUUCCUAAAAAAUUUCUAUCCAUGCCAUGCCCCUGACUCAUUUUCUCCAUUCAGAAGUCACUAGCUUUAGAGAGAUGGAGAACGAAAGUUUCCACUGUGUCACAGGAGACAUACCUAAAUUGGCACCCUCAAAACUGGUUAAUGUAAGGAAAGCUGUUUAGAGUCAGGCCAUGGCAGUUCUCAGUGACAAUAUCAUUAGGCUCUCCCUGAAAAAUCUCUUGUAUCCUUGAGAGCACUAGCUUCUUCUGUGAUGUAAUAAGUGUUGUCCUGACUGCAAAUGCCUCUCAGAUAUUACUUCAGUACCUAUAGGUUUUACUAAUUGGCCUCAAAUUCAGGGGAAACAGUCAUUAGGGAGGGAGAACAAAGACGAUGAAGAAAUCAGAGAUGGGGAGAACGAAGCUGGUCUUCUGUCUUGGUAUAAAAGAAGGAAGAAAUACAUCAUCCCUGAGAAAUCUCACUGAAGCCUUGGUAGGAGUGGAAUAUAAAAACUCUCAAAACUCAUCCUGGCUGACAAUGUAGAUUAGACGCAUCAGAUGAAAUGAAUUGAAAAACUCUCCUGGGAAUGAAAGUGGUAAGGAAAUCACAUUGAUGUAUCCUAAAUGCAGUGCUAAGAGCAAUAUUCAGACUAGUCUGUGGAGAUGCUGCUGUCAUCAGAGACCACAGACAAUUAGUGGAGAAUGAUUCAGCAUUAAACUGGGAAUGGAAGAUGAUGGUUGAUAUUGUUCUAGUAGAUCUCACUACAUUAAAAAGUGUUUCUUCCAGAUAACUGAAUGAUUAUUGUAAAGCAAAUCCCGGAAUGAACUUAUGAGACCCACCAUCAGCCUGUCAAAUAAUGUGCGAAAGAAGAAAUCUGUGUCUCUCCAGGGACAAAUUGUUGCUUUCAAACCAACAGUAAAGUGUCCAUUCUAUGAAUGAUACAUUGAUAUAUACACAUUAUAGAAGGAUGGAUACAGAGUUUCUUCAGGUCCAUGAAUGAGGUAUUCAGCAGUUGACCUGGAUCAGAAAUGAAGGUAAUUUUUGCCAACUCUUCAGACUUGAGCUCCUUCACUAGGAUCCCCAUGAUUGAAGAAAAGAACAAACUUCAGACAACUUGUCUCAGAUUUUUAUGUAGUUAAGAUUUCCUGGUCUUGGUCCUAGGAAGGAAGGAUAUCUUGCUUUCCAAUUCUUGUUUAUCCUAUAAUCCUCUCUGCUGCAUUCAUGCAAAUAGAUUACUGUGCAUUUCUUUAAUAGGUUACAAUUGCUAUUUUAAUUAUGUUGCCAAGAACUAUAGAAAAAAAGAAGGACUGUAUCAAAGCAUCAUAUGAAAAUCCGACUAAGGUAAUGUGGCCAUUGGAAAUGUGUAACUGACCUGAAACUCUUACUAGAGACAAAAUGCCAUAAAAGGUCUUCUCUCGAUAUCUGGUGUAGUAGUUGGUGUUCCCCAACAGACAGUAAAGGAUGAAUCUCUCUGUACAGAGAAAUCGGAGUAGUCACAAUGAUCACAGACUAUGGAACACAUAAUUUAACCAUGACUGACUAUUUUUAAAGUCCUAGAAUCCAUUAGUUUAUUAGUCCAAAAGGCAAGAUGUCUUAUCUGGUCAUUGACAUAUGGAUAAAUAUUCAGUAUGCAGGUUCUAAUGUCUAUGAGGAUUUGGUAUCACUGUGAGUGCAAAAAUGAAAAAGUAAAGGCUUCUUUCUUCCAUGUUUUCUACGGGAAUUCAAAUAGAAUGCAUGGUUUAGAAUACAUUGGGUUUGCCAUUCUCAAACAGACCAAUAUCUUCAACUGAACAUUCUUUUCUUGGAAGCUGCACCCUGUCAGCAUGGCUCACGUGUAUGUGAACUGCAAGAUCUAGUCUGGGAAGGCGGUCCUGUUCAUCGAUCCAACCUGCCCCUAAUACUGAAAUACCCAAGACUUCCUCAAUCAACUCCUUUGCAAACAUGGUCUUCUGGGAUUUGAAGACAUUACAUCUACUAACAACACCAAUGCAAUUCAAGAUUACUUUCAACAGCUCCCUGGAGUGAGAAUUGUUCCUUGGGUCCUUAUAUGUAGAGAAAGACUGCAUAGGCAGACACAGUGAUCUAAUCUACCUGCAACAGAAUGAAGAGAUGAUGAUGUGGCUGAAGCAGAUUGGAGCUCUGCAUUUAUUAAAGGGAUGGCAGUAAAAGCCCAUGCUGACAGCAGACAUUCAGACAUGCUGAAGCCAUGCUGAGACUUGAUGUUUGUCACAGAUGAUGUCAGUAUUUUCUUAUGACUGGGAUUUUCAACAAAUUGGCUUUCAUUCUAUUCCUCAUUCCAAAAAAUCUUUUGCUGUAGGCCUCAAACCAUGGGGCAGGGAAACUUAAGAGACAACAGAGGAUUGAUAAUCCAGUCUUCAUUCACUGACUUGUCUCUACCUCUAAGUCCAUGUUUCACAAUCCAGUGAAUUUAAAUCUCCAGGGAAUCAGUUACUGUUUCUCUACCAUGCUGGUCUGCUGAAGUCAUUUUACAGAAGUCCACUUCCAAGUAAUUAUUAAAGCAAUGAAUAUUUUGAAGUUGUUUAUGAUCUACACACAGGCUUUUUACGCCCCAAGCAUGUACCAUCCCACUUCUGCAUUUGUAGCUCUCAGCCAGUGUUCUCGACCUAUCCAUCCAGCAACCCUUAGAUUCCACACUUUGUAUGAGGAUAAUAUUUGAAAAAACAGAAGAAUAGCUGUAGCAUGGUUGUUCUUCACUGAAGCCAUAUUAACACAGACGGCAGAGCAUAUGAUGCAUUCAUCUCUGUUUGUAGUGUUUAAUUCCCCGUAAAGUCCCAAACAAUUGAGAGUUGAUUCUGUCAGAGUACCAGCAAAGUCAAAUAGGAAAUGCAAAAUUUCAGAAUUCUCCUUCCAAAGAUGUUUGUGAAAGAAGUUGUUUGCAAAACACUGUCUUAAUAAAUUUAUUCCAUUCUCACUUUGAUAUUUUGCUUUGAUGUCUUGAAGUGACGUUUAAUUAUCACUGAAAUGCAGGUCCCCUCUAUAGUCUCCAGUAAGAAGAAUUCAUUCCUCAAAAGGAUGUAUCUGCAGAUGCCUGAAAAAAUAAUAGAAAGAAUAUUUCUUGAUAAAGAUCUAGGUUAAAGUUGAAACAUCUUACCACAAAGAUACAUAUAAGAAGUUCAUUUGACAUUGACCUUAUAUUAUGCAGAAAUUCUUCACAUAUUCCCUCUAUCGUUGGGGUUUAAUUAAUCUCCAAUGAAUAGUUGACAAUGAAGAGUAGCCUUUAGAAUCAUUUUACCCUUUUCAGUAAUAGUUUUAAGCAAAUGGAACACUAAAAGAUCACAAAGAAGAAAUGGUUAUAAUCAAAAGAUACAUGUGGGACAGUCUAACUCUCAUGGUCAAGAUGACUUUGCACAUGCUCCUUAUGGUCAUGGAUUGCUCUCAUAAUACUCUGCAGAAGGUUGUUCCUACUGCCUCACUUUAAGCUCCAGGAAUUACAACUACCAGAGCUGUUCAAGUUCCCUUACAAUGCACUUGAAAGCCACAUAUGCUUAGGAACUUUUGAUGUGCUUUAGCUCUAUUGUCAGGUUUUUUUAAGCCUCUACCAAAUAGCAAGCUGUCCUUUUUACCCUCUUCUCAACACCUCUAAAUCUGCCCUAACUCAAUUUCUCAAUUGACAUUAGUCAUAGCUCAGCACCCCAAAUAUGCACUCAUCUUACUGUGUUUUUAACAUCCUGCCUGCUACACCAAUGGCCACUCCAUACUAGAUCUCACAUGACUGGUAACUCUUGCUCCACCCUAAAUCCUUUCUCCACCCUUGUGUCUACUAGCCUGUUGGUAGAAAUCCACACAACUGAUUGGCCAAGAGCAUCUUUAUUGAACUAUACAGAAUCAAUUUGGGAACAGGACCUUCAGUGUUCGCAGUAUGAUUCCCGAUCUACGAAUCAAAACGAUAGCAAACAAGACUCAAUCCAUGUCUCUGGUUUUGGGAGGGAGAUAGAGCACUUUGAUUCAGAGUUGAAAUUUAAAUAAUUAUAAUAUAUAUGUAGUAUUAAUUAUGCCAGGAUAAAAGGAUCCAAAAAGUGGAAAUGGGCAACAUUAAAGGCAAGAGAAAAAUCCCUAGUACAGCAAACAAUGUGGACCUGUUAGAAAGACUGGUCUCUUUCCAGCCAUCUGAAUUUGUACUUGAAAUUCUUCUAACCACUCUUGAUCUCUGCAUGUAGAAAAGAACAAAAAGAAAAAGAAAACAAAAUAAAACAAAAAAUCACCAAAAUGAAACCAAAAGCAAAAGCAAUAGCUAAUCAACCCAAUCCUAAAAGAAGAGGACCGAGUGAAGAUUGCUUGAGGUCCUCAUUUUUAACUACAACUACAAGUCACCAAUAGCUUUCAAUGCAAAAGUUUGUCAUUAUUUUAUUUGAAACUUCUCUGUGGGUCAAAGAAACAAGGUUUAUAAGCUGCAACAACAGGAAAGAGAAAAAAAAUCAUACUGUAGAGCUCAACACUGAUAUUACUAUGGUGACUGUGGGCAAUGCAGAGAAUAUUGGUGUUUGACAACGGGUCUUGUGGUUUUCUAUAUGCUGGCAAUAUCUAUGACUCUGAAAUGAAUUAGAGUCAUCACCAAAUCAUCACUAAAUGAACUGCUCCUUUCUUUGGAGCACAAGAUCUGGCAAACUGUUGACUGACUAUGAUUUUUAACUUGGAUCUAGCCUCUGUGGUAAAGCUAAGGCUUCUGAUGGAAAAUCCUCCACCAAAAUACUGGACUAUCAAUUGUGCUGCCAGCCAAAAACCAAGUCCUGACUCUACCCUGCAAUCCAGAAGAGGUUUCAAAGUGUCAAACAUAACAAUAUUUUAAUUGUGGCUUUGUCUUUUUUUCACUUUUUAUUUUAAAUAAAGUGUGAUUUCUGGCAUAA